rnacentral:rRNA from 1 species
GACGAACGCUGGCGGCGUGCUUAACACAUGCAAGUCGAACGGAAAGGCCCUGCUUUUGUGGGGUGCUCGAGUGGCGAACGGGUGAGUAACACGUGAGUAACCUGCCCUUGACUUUGGGAUAACUUCAGGAAACUGGGGCUAAUACCGGAUAGGAGCUCCUGCUGCAUGGUGGGGGUUGGAAAGUUUCGGCGGUUGGGGAUGGACUCGCGGCUUAUCAGCUUGUUGGUGGGGUAGUGGCUUACCAAGGCUUUGACGGGUAGCCGGCCUGAGAGGGUGGCCGGCCACGUUGGGACGGAGAUGCGGCCCAGACUCCUACGGGAGGCAGCAGUGGGGAAUAUUGCACAAUGGGCGGAAGCCUGAUGCAGCAACGCCGCGUGCGGGAUGACGUCCUUCGGGUUGUAAACCGCUUUCGCCUGUGACGAAGCGUGAGUGACGGUAAUGGGUAAAGAAGCACCGGCUAACUACGUG